rnacentral:piRNA from 1 species
GCAGGCUGCCAUACCAACUUUAG